rnacentral:misc_RNA from 1 species
GAUGAAGAACGCAGUGAAAUGCGAUAAGUAAUGUGAAUUGCAGAAUUCAGUGAAUCAUCGAAUCUUUGAACGCACAUUGCGCCCCCUGGUAUUCCGGGGGGCAUGCCUGUCCGAGCGUCAUUACAACCCUCAAGCUCAGCUUGGUAUUGGGCCCCGCCGCUUCGGCGGGCCCUAAAGUCAGUGGCGGUGCCGUCCGGCUCCGAGCGUAGUAAUUCUUCUCGCUCUGGAGGCCCGGUCGUGUGCUUGCCAGCAACCCCCAAUUUUUUUCAGGUUGACCUCGGAUCAGGUAGGGAUACCCGCUGAACUUAAGCAUAUCAAUAAGCGGAGGA